GAGUUUGAUCCUGGCUCAGAUUGAACGCUGGCGGCAGGCCUAACACGUGCAAGUCGGGCGGUAGAGAGAAGCUUGCUUCUCUUGAGAGCGGCGGGACGGGUGAGUAAUGCCUAGGAAUCUGCCUGGUAGUGGGGGAUAACGCUCGGAAACGGACGCUAAUACCGCAUACGUCCUACGGGAGAAAGCAGGGGACCUUCGGGCCUUGCGCUAUCAGAUGAGCCUAGGUCGGAUUAGCUAGUUGGUGAGGUAAUGGCUCACCAAGGCGACGAUCCGUAACUGGUCUGAGAGGAUGAUCAGUCACACUGGAACUGAGACACGGUCCAGACUCCUACGGGAGGCAGCAGUGGGAAUAUUGGACAAUGGGCGAAAGCCUGAUCCAGCCAUGCCGCGUGUGUGAAGAAGGUCUUCGGAUUGUAAAGCACUUUAAGUUGGGAGGAAGGGCAGUAAUUAAUACUUUGCUGUUUUGACGUUACCGACAGAAUAAGCACCGGCUAACUCUGUGCCAGCAGCCG
rnacentral:rRNA from 1 species